rnacentral:rRNA from 1 species
CCGAAUAACGGGUUUCUUUUGAUUUUGGAGAAAUAAAGGCGCUACGGUCGAUUACACAUGCUAACGAAAGUGAACAGGUGAGAAUAAACGAUAAACAUAUCGGUUUGUAUUAAGAAGAGGGAGGUAAGUGACUCUCGACUUAAGAUGCAAAGUCUAAAACCACAUUUUUACUGAAACAAGGAAAAAACGUCAAGGCAGCAGUGAUAAAUCUUAUACACUUCGUUUACGCGAGAUAUAGAGACCGUAAUCAGUCUUGUCUAAUUAAGUGCCAGCAGACGCGGUUAUACUUAAGAGUCAAGUCUUUAUCGAUCACUAGGUUCAAAACACGUCUAGGAGUUGAAAAAAAAAGAGAUAACGAAUUACUUCAAUAAUAUGGUAAAAUUCAUAUUGGACAGAGUACCGAUAACUAAAGUAUCGUUAUAAAUAAUCUAAAACGUUGAAGAAAGGGGCGUAAACAGGAUUAGAUACCCUGGUAAUCCUUUCCCUGAACGAGAUCUCGUCAUUACCUGAAUAGUACUUUCGCAAGAAAGAAAGUCAAAAAAUCUGGCUGUUUACUUUCCACUUAGAGGAGUUUGUAAUUUAAUACGAUUGUCCACGUAAAAUCUCACUUUUUCUUGAAAUCUCAGGUGCUGCAUGGUCGUCUCAAGCUUAUGUUUAAAACGAUAAGCCAAUUCCUUCAAAGGAAGAAGUCAGAUCGCAUGGCCCUCAUGAAAGAGGAAAUUAUGCACUACAAUGGUCAACGAAAAUAAAAAUUGACGCCUGGAUAGUCUUUGAAAGAGGACUUGAAAGCGAAUUUAACAGUAAUCGAGAAGAAUGGUGUCUUGGUGAAUCGGUUCAAGUAUUAGUACAAAUUGCCCGUCACCUUUGUUUAACUUAUUCAUGAGAGAGCGGAGACGUGACUCAGAAGAACAAAACAAAGCAAGUCGUAACAUAGUGAGAGAAAGGGAACUUUCUCUUGCAGAGAACUCUUAAAGAAAGUCACACACCGAUUCUCUGCUA